rfam:Asian citrus Psyllid, Diaphorina citri - Florida Strain, whole genome shotgun sequence.
GCUCCCAUGGCGUAGUGGUCACUGCGCUCGCCUUGCACGCGGGAGACCCGGGUUCGAUUCCCGGCAGGGUCG